CAGUAGCCGCGGUAAUACCGAGGGUGCGAGCGUUAAUCGGAUUUACUGGGCGUAAAGCGUGCGUAGGCGGCUUCUUAAGUCGGAUGUGAAAUCCCUGAGCUUAACUUAGGAAUUGCAUUCGAUACUGGGAAGCUAGAGUAUGGGAGAGGAUGGUAGAAUUCCAGGUGUAGCGGUGAAAUGCGUAGAGAUCUGGAGGAAUACCGAUGGCGAAGGCAGCCAUCUGGCCUAAUACUGACGCUGAGGUACGAAAGCAUGGGGAGCAAACAGGAUUAGAUACCCCCGUAGUCCCUGUCUCUUAUAA
rnacentral:rRNA from 1 species